UUUUUUAUUUAUUCAAGAUGCUGAAGUGUUUCUUCGUUUGACACCAGCUCGACAAGUGGGCGAUCUACCUGCUAGCACGGGACCGCAGUAAGGUGAAGGUGAGCCGACAUCUAUGACAUUCUAAAUUGCUCUGUAGCAAGCCAAGGUGACACAAAUACAACGUUCAAAGACAGAACAGUGAAAAGAUGGUUAGAUACUGCAGCCACGAGAAUCAAUGAAGCUUACGUUGCCAACGCUACAGAUAGUGGACCCAGCAUAAAGACGUAUUACAUCACAGCGUUAUAUUUUACGUUUUCGUCACUGACGUCAAUAGGAUUCGGAAACGUGUCACCAAAUACUAAUGGAAUUGACAUGCCGGUAAAGAUGAUAUAUUUGGUGGUGACUGCAGUGACGUGGAAUGCUCGGGAAAAUCGUUCUAUUUUGUACGUGCCCUUAGUUACUGUGAUAUUAACAAGACAGAGUUACACGUGCUGAAGAAGACAAUGUAUAUAUAACAAAAUCAAAACGAAUGAAUGGGUAAAAUACAAGUGACAUUCAAUCUUAAGCUCGACGAAUGGGACCACAGAUCGGAGAAGAUGAGCCGACGUCUAGGGCAUACGAAUUUUCUCCGCUACCAGCAAGUAGUGGUAUAGAUACGGCGUUCAAAGACAGAUCAGUGUAAACAAAACGAACAGUUGACGGAUGUUUCAUUUCUUCAUCAGAUUCCAGCCAGUACGUCAAGGUUACAGUGUGUUUUCGGUGUAUCUAUAAGGUCAUUCUUAGAAACAUCAGACAGUUGA
rnacentral:lncRNA from 1 species